GGGUUUCAUUACGCAUGGGAUUUUUGGUGCUGUGGAAGAGGUACUUGAGAGUGGAGAAGGUGUUUUGACUGAUAUUUUAUUUGUAUGUGUGACAGGCAAUUAGGAUCAUUCAUGCUGUCCUGGAGAAGUAUGGUACCUAUGAGAGUUUUGAAGUUGCCACUGGAGGAAGACUGCUGAGCAAAUGCCAAAUCUGGUCUGUUAUCCGAAAGUACAUGCAGAAGGAAGGCUGUGUGGGAGAGGACUGAGAUGAUGUUGCCAGAGCUCAGAUGCCUGCUUAUGUGGAUCUCCCAGCUGCUCCCAGUUUGCAGCAAAGAAAUCCCUGCCUAUAUUGGGCAAUUAAGAGUGACAAGAGAGCAAGACGUCCACUCCCUGCCAGCUGAGCAUCAUGUGGUAACUGGUGUCCUGACAGUGGAGAUCCACAAGCUGUCAGAGUGCCUCAUGUCCAGUGCUCCCUAUAAAAGCUGCAGGUCAAACAUCAAAGACCUAGGGACCAGGGACUGUCGGGAGUGCAGGCACCAGUUCUGCGCUGAAGAACACAGACACUGGCACCAAACAGCAGUGUCUUCAAGGGAGCAAGAAAAGUGCUGUAACAGUGAAAUGUACUCCUUAUCUGUGUGGGGUUUUGUUUGGUUGUUUUUCUUAACUCUAUCCUCUGCCUCCCCUUCCCUUCCCAGGGUUUCAACCUCAACUAGUUAUAUUUGGGAUUGCAAUGUAAAAUGACAAGAUUGUACUCCUGUUGCAUAGAACUGACAUAAGAGAUUAGAAAAGGUUAAAAUAAAAUGAAAGAUUGCAAAGGUAAGCCUUUGAAA
ensembl:lncRNA